CCUACGGGUGGCUGCAGUGAGGAAUAUUGGUCAAUGGGCGCGAGCCUGAACCAGCCAAGCAGCGUGAAGGUUGAAUGCCCUACGGGUUGUAAACUUCUUUUAUAAAGGAAUAAAGGGAGGCACGGGUGCCUUUGGUAUGUAUUUUAUGAAUAAGAAGCGGCUAACGCCGUGCCAGCAGCCGCGGUAAUACGGAGGAUCCGAGCGUUAUACGGAUUUAGUGGGUUUAAAGGGAGCGUAGAUGGGUUGUUAAGUCAGUUGUGAAAGUUUGCGGCUCAACCGUAAAAUUGCAAUUGAGACUGGCAGCCUUGAGUACAGUUGAGGUAGGCGGAAUUCGUGGUGUAGCGGUGAAAUGCUUAGAUAGCACGAAGAACUCCGAUUGCGAAGGCAGCCUACUAAACUGCCACUGACAUUGAUGCUCGAAAGUGUGGGUAUCAAACAGGAUUAGAUACCCUGGUAGUC
rnacentral:rRNA from 1 species